rnacentral:rRNA from 1 species
GUGAACGCUGGCGGUAGGCCUAACACAUGCCAGUCGAACGGCAGCACAGUAAGAGCUUGCUCUUACGGGUGGCGAGUGGCGGACGGGUGAGGAAUACAUCGGAAUCUACUUUUUCGUGGGGGAUAACGUAGGGAAACUUACGCUAAUACCGCAUACGACCUACGGGUGAAAGCAGGGGAUCUUCGGACCUUGCGCGAUUGAAUGAGCCGAUGUCGGAUUAGCUAGUUGGCGGGGUAAAGGCCCACCAAGGCGACGAUCCGUAGCUGGUCUGAGAGGAUGAUCAGCCACACUGGAACUGAGACACGGUCCAGACUCCUACGGGAGACAGCAGUGGGGAAUAUUGGACAAUGGGCGCAAGCCUGAUCCAGCCAUACCGCGUGGGUGAAGAAGGCCUUCGGGUUGUAAAGCCCUUUUGUUGGGAAAGAAAAGCAGCAGGUUAAUACCCCGCUGUUCUGACGGUACCCAAAGAAUAAGCACCGGCUAACUUCGUG